rnacentral:lncRNA from 10 species
AGCGGACCAACACAUCCUAUUAUAGACAACAAAAUCAAGUUUGAAAACUUUCUUGAUGGCUGGGACAGAGCUGGACUGAAUUCAACAAGAUGAAAUCCCAUGAAGGUUAAUGAAAGAUCUUCCAUUUAGAAUUCCAAGUAUGUGGCAACACGCGUGUUUGGAGCCAGACUUCUGAGAAGAUGCCCUCAAUCACCCACAGCCUCUUUAUGAGUUUUCCCCUCCAAUGUGACUUCAGUUAUUAAGAUGUCCCAAGUGAUUAGACUCACCAGCAGCCUCCUAAAUACUCAGCCAAGGAAACCUGAUAUGGUGGGGAGAGGCUGUUCGGGGGAGAUUACUUGGCAGUGGUAAAAGUCAGAAGCCUUAUGUCUGCAGAACUUUGUUCACUUCUCAGAAGUCCUUUGACUGUGUGAUAUGAGGAAGUCACUCUAAAUCUCAUUGUCUCUUAACUGCAACACAGAGGCAACAAUACCCCAUUACAGGAACUCUGUGUGAAAAAUAUUACAAAAUAUUAACAAAAUGCUUUGAAUUCCUUGUAUAUUUCACCACGUUAGAUCUAGCAAACUACCAUCCCUCAUCUGGGGCAGAGAAUUGUUAAGUGUGGUUAGGCCAGCCAGAGGGCAGCCUCAGGCAAGUCCCUGUGAACUUACUAAGGCAGGGAGGGACAAGGGCAGGGGCAAGUUUGGGGUUGGUACAAACCCCUCCCUCUGGGCCUAUUCCAGGAAUCCAGGAAUAUUUCUCUAGCAACCUAUUAUUAUUAUUGUUGUUGUUGUUUUGAGAUGGAGUCUCACUCUGUCACCCAGGCUGGAGUGCAGUGGCGCUAUCUCGGCUCACCGCAGCCUCUGCCUCCCGAGUUCAAGCAAUUCUCAUGCCUCAGUCUCCCCAGUAGCUGGGAUAACAGGAGCCCGCCACCAUGCUCGGCUAAUUUUUGUAUUUUUUGUAGAGGUGGGGUUUCA